rnacentral:rRNA from 1 species
UACGGGGGGAGCAAGCGUUGUUCGGAUUUACUGGGCGUAAAGGGCGCGUAGGCGGCCACGACAAGUCACUUGUGAAAUCUCCGGGCUUAACCCGGAACUGCCAAGUGAUACUGUCGUGCUAGAGUGCGGAAGGGGCAAUCGGAAUUCUCGGUGUAGCGGUGAAAUGCGUAGAUAUCGAGAGGAACACCUGAGGUGAAGACGGGUUGCUGGGCCGACACUGACGCUGAGUGCGCGAAAGCCAGGGGAGCAAACGGG